GUCAAUAUAGCUCAGUUGGUUAGAGUGUGGUACUAGUAAUGCCAAGGUUGCAGGUUCGAAUCCUGUAUGGGACA